UAGAAAUGUCAAAAAAAAUAAGAAAAAAGUAUGUCAAGAAUGCAUAAAAUGAUACCAGUCUAUCCUGGUAUCAGGAUAGGCAUAAGCUUCUAUUCUAAGCAAGACAGCUGCCAAGUUUUUUAAAAGACCACCACGACAUUUAAAGGAGAUAUGAAGGAGGACAUCAAGAAGGAAAUCUGGGAUAUGACUGAAGGGGACCUGUGUUCACCACUGACCUCAGCAAAACUGGCUGGAAUAUAUCACAUGUCCUGGGACUCAGGGCCUACGGAGCAGCUAAACUGCACCAACCUAGACACAUGUGAUAAUGCAGAGGGAAUUCAGCAGAUGGACGUUCAGAGGCAGAGUCAGGUGACCUGGUUGUAUAUGUCCAUGGACCCUGAUGAAAGACUGAUGGAAAUACAGAUGACAGCUGGUCCCUAUACUAGAAGGUAGAAUUUUAUGUAAGCACAAAGAGCUUUAAGACUGCCUGCAUGUUUAACAUGUAUUUCACACUGUUUCAGAUAAAUGGGAAUUUUUUACAACUCAUUUUCAAAUCAAAACAUUCUUUAAAAUAGUACUGUGCUGAAAAGGUAAAAUGUAAAUAUCUCAGAUAUUUUAAAAAAGGCAAAACUGGUUUCAUCUAAACCAGAUUUCUUGUACUCACACAAAAUUUAGAAUUUACCAACA